CAUCGACCAUCAUCAACACCAACCAAAUCCAGAACCCACCUUCAACCCGGAAUCCGGAGAAACCAGUAACCAACUCCAUCCUUCUUCACGCUUUCCACUUGAUAGAACGAUGAGGAAAGACCUAAAAGAUUAUAGAAAACGGGUGAGUUGACUCACCCCAAUGACCAAAUUCCUUGAAUCUUAGAAUUAUUGGUACGAUUUCGUACCUAUGUGUUUGGUUUUGAUUGGUUUUGGGAGGGGAUUUCUAUGUUUCCUUUUCCUAUUGGUUGGAACCAAUUUGAAAUUUACCAAGAAUCCAAAAAUCGGUACAAGUUCGAGUAAAAAAUCCCGUUGUCAACCUUAUCAUCAGUUUUGAAUUUCAAAAUUUUGGAAAAAUACCAAGACCGCCCUUACGGAAAGCCCAAAAACAAACCCUAUCUUUUGGUUUCUCUAUAAAGAGGGGGAUUGAGGGUUCUAAGGGGGUCUCUUUUUAUUUGGGGGGGGGGGGGGCGGGAGGAAAAAAUUUCUUGAGAGGAAAAUUCUAGAUCAUUGUUUAGGGCAUUUUUUUCUCUUCUUUCCCUUCUGAGGUUGAUAUUACGGGGUUAGUAAAUUUUAGAGGAUUUUUUUUGGGGGGGAGAAAGUCUGGGAGUUAGGGUUCUUUUAUAGAAGUUUUGGGGGGCUUUUCUCUCUUCUCGCUUCUCUCCAAGCUAGUUUUGAAAUCUCUAGAGGAAAAAGCAAAAGGACGCUCUGUUGGUGGUCGACGUCGCGAUAUUUCGGUAGCGACGAUUUUGCUGAUAAUUCGUCGUCCCGUUUGCUGCCCCGAUAGAGGCAGUAGACUGACCAUUUGAGUGAUAACUGCUUGAAAAUUUGAGUUGCAACUCAUAGUAUGGCUGAUCUUGCGUGGUUGUGUUCUGUCCCUUCAACUAAAUCAAGGUGGAUUGGUGAGCGUUUCAGUAGUAAAUCUAUACCUAUCUGUCAUUUUCUUCAUCUACAUAAAACUCACAAGUGCAAUAGGUGUGCUCAAGUUUAGCACAAAUUGGUCUCUUACUAAUAUGAGAUCAAAACCAUGCACUUCUUCACAUUUCAAGACAUACUAUGUGCGAUAUAACUGGAAGUAUCCGUCUGGUAUAAACACGCAAAGGUUUCUUUUAUGAAUUGAAAUGGUUCUCAUAUUUUAUAUUCCUUUCUUUUGCAUUUGCUAAUUAGAAGUUUAGUAUGCAAGAGGUGUCCAAUUUCAGUUCAAUAUACUGAGCCUACUGAUACUGCGCCAUGUUGCAAAGACAACAGUGAACUGUUAUGCCCAUGCUAUAGUCAUCUUGCAUAGUAAUAGUCAGAUUGAUGUUUUCAUUUUUAUUUUCGCGUACCUAGCAAUCAUCUCAAAUUAGUUAGGAAAAGGUUAUACGCUCUGUCUUCACUCCUGUCAUGUUGGAUUAGCCGAAAUGCAAAGUCCAUUGGCAUACAAUUCUUCUUUGUCAAAUUGGUAUGAAAAUAUUUUAUGAUUCCAACCGGCUCUUGAGUAUUUGUCUAUGCCGCGUUGUUCUUAGCUAAGUGCGUAUUAAUUUUUCUUAUUUAUGUCCCCUUUUAUUCGUUUUUUUUUUACUUCUUGGGGUGAUCAUGUACCAAGCUAUUUUUAAUUUCCCCUGUUUUGUCUGAACUUGAUCUUUUAAUUGAUAUGAAUAUGGAUUACUAUCCCUAAUCGGCUUUUGAUUGUUGAGACCCAUACCAUAUUGCCAAUUUUUCUUUUCGUUAAAUCCGCAUUAGUUUUUCUUGCAGUUUUGCCUUUCUUUGAACACAUGUUAUCUAACUUACCUCACUUUAUUUUUAUUUUCUUUUUGUUGGUUUUCUCCUUUCUUUAAUUUAGAUUAUAUACUAAUGUGUUUUAUUUUUCUUUCCAUGCAUGGACAUCAUUCAAGUCCCCACGGACUCUUCCCUUUCCAGAUAUUCUUCAUGGGCCAAUAAGUCCUAUGUUUUCAAGUCAAGCCGAAAGAGAGUUUAGAGUCGAACUAUAUAUGGAUGAAAGAAAGUCGAAGAAGGGAACGGGGUUAAAGCCCCAUCCUCGAAGUGGAAAUACAAAUCGUUAGCCUUUCCUUAUUUUUUUAUCCAUUGUUGUACUAUUUAUUUAUUUAUCCUUGUUUUAUUUGUUUAUUGCUUGAGUAAUUUUGGGCCUAGAAGCCAAAAUUGUACUUAAUACAGGUGAAGCGAAAACUCAAGCCAAAGGGCUCGAAAACAUAGAAAUGAGACCGGUGAAAGGACAAAUGGGUUGAAAACUCAAGUAGAUUAGGACAGGUUCAAUGGUUUGGGCUUCAAAGCCUAAAUCAUUAUUUCUCCCCUUUCCCUUUUC